AGAGUUUGAUCCUGGCUCAGGACGAACGCUGGCGGCGUGCCUAAUACAUGCAAGUAGAACGCUGAAGGAGGAGCUUGCUUCUCUGGAUGAGUUGCGAACGGGUGAGUAACGCGUAGGUAACCUGCCUGGUAGCGGGGGAUAACUAUUGGAAACGAUAGCUAAUACCGCAUAAUAGCAGUUAUUGCAUGAUAACUGUUUGAAAGGUGCAAUUGCACCACUACCAGAUGGACCUGCGUUGUAUUAGCUAGUUGGUGGGGUAACGGCUCACCAAGGCGACGAUACAUAGCCGACCUGAGAGGGUGAUCGGCCACACUGGGACUGAGACACGGCCCAGACUCCUACGGGAGGCAGCAGUAGGGAAUCUUCGGCAAUGGACGGAAGUCUGACCGAGCAACGCCGCGUGAGUGAAGAAGGUUUUCGGAUCGUAAAGCUCUGUUGUAAGAGAAGAACGAGUGUGAGAGUGGAAAGUUCACACUGUGACGGUAUCUACCAGAAAGGCG
rnacentral:rRNA from 1 species